ensembl:lncRNA
AUAACGAACACUUAAACAACAUUAAGUCUCAAAGAAAUUCACUGUCCAGUACCUGGUUUUUCUUCUUCAGCCUCUGCAGAGUCUGGGUCUCUGGACUCAGGGCCAUGAACCCAGAGCAUAACCCCCAAGUCCACGUUCUUUCCACUGCUCUUCUUUAUGGUGGCAAGGUGAAAUAAAGGUCACUGCAAACUAGUGAAAAUGAGAGGAUUUGUGUAAUUUUAUUAAACCUCUCAUGUACAGAAACACGUGUGGCAUGAAUGAGGACCUCUUCCUUCUUCUACCCCACAGGCUGUGUUCCAGCCAUGCUCCAAGGAGGGAAAACUGGGGUACAGACCUCACUGCUUUCCCAGCUGAGUUUUCACACAUCAAGAUCUACAGUUUGAAGAUCAGACAAGAAGGAGAAAGGACAAAGCUCAAAAGGAGAAAGCUCGUCCAGAGGCUGGAGGAGAAAGUUGAGCCUCCUGGAAGUCCUCCAGAGGGCAGGCUCUAGAAAAUUGAAGUCAGCGGGACAAAUUUCCUUCUUUCCCUGUUAGCAUUACUGGGAACUGCCAGCCUGUCAUUCCUGCCUCCAACCCCACCUGGGUGAGGCAGGGCAGCAAUGGUUGGGGAAUCUAGAUACAGGCAUCUGAGAACAACCUCACAGAGCCUCACCAUGCCAGUGGCCCAUGGAGAAGCAGCCAAGGGUUCCUGGAACCUUGAGGAAGAGAUCCCAAGGAGACCUAGCAUCAAAUGAGAGGGCCACAGUGUGGGGGGACCUGACAACUGGGGACAGUGGCAAGGACCAUGGACAUUCUGACUUGACACUUAUGGGCUGUGGACAAGGCACUUAGUGUGUCUGAGCCACAGUUUCCUUAUCUGUAUCUAAUCUCAUAGGGCUGGUAUGAGAAUUGUACAAGCAAGUACACCCGAAGUUCUUAGAACUAGACCCUUGCUCAUGAUAGGUACUCAACAAAAGCUAGUUUUUAUAAGUAUCAGUUGCAAACACUGCCCUAAACACUGGAUGAGACCAGCCUCAUUCCUGUGGUUGAUGAAGCAAGUCCCCAGUCACUAAGGGACCAAGAGACACUGUGGCAGAUGUGGCAAGUGACCAAACCAAGUGAGAUACCGUGACCAGGGUCAGCAAGGAUGAAAUGACACGUCUCUAGAGCCAACUCGUGAACCACACCCCCACCCCGAUUUACAUCAACCAGAGAAGGAAGAGAUGGAAUAACACAGAGUAAUUACCCAGAAUAUGCUAUCUUAAACUGGAUGAGAUGGAGACAACUUCACCUGACAAAUCAAGUGUUUUCUACCAUCAAGAAACACGAAAGUAGAGUAAAAUGGGACCAGUCCUAGAAAAUAAGGAAAGUUCCUUUUUAUGCACAUGUGAGCCACAGGAGCAGACUUAAAUCUUGUUCUAGGGUCCUUUGGCCUUGUUUUACAGGGAAAUGAAUUUAAUUUUAUGCACAUUCGAUUCAUGUUCAUCAAUCCACUGGGCUGCACUUGUCUGUGGAAGUGCUAAAGACCACCAGCAUUCAUUGAUCAGUAGUUUCUCUGUCAAUUACAAUGACUUUUAAAAUAAGUUUUAUUUACUUUCCCGAUUCUAGACAUAAUAAAAUUUGAAACUUAAGCAAAGUAUAAAGGAGAAAAUUUAAAUCACUAGUUAUUGUGAGAACCAGAAGUAACCACAGUUAACUCUGUAAAGAUUUACUUCAAUUUUUUAUUUAUGCAUGUAUAGUUUUUAAUCACGAUGAUAUGAUAUCUAAAAUUUUGUAAUUUUUUUUUUACUUAGCAUUAUAUCAUGAAAAUUUUCCUAGGAAUUUCUCAGAGGUAAACAUUUGUUUGGAAAUCAUUUUAAUGCCUAUGUAAUAUUCCAUCAUGUGAGUAAACAAAAAUGUAUUAAACUUUUCCCCUAUUGUUGGACAUUUAGAUUGUUUCCAAUAUUUCAUUAUGAUUAAUAAUGCUGUAAUAAACUCAUUUUACCUAAAUCAAUUGGCAUGUCAUAUUCUGGAUUUCUAGAAUUGAAACUACUAAAUCUUAAAAUGAUAUGAACUUCAUAUACUUUACAUUCUUAUUUUCAAACUGUUUCCCAAAAAUGUUGUCUAAAAAUGUAUUUCCUCAAGCAGUAUAUGAG